UGGGGAAUAUUGGACAAUGGGCGCAAGCCUGAUCCAGCCAUGCCGCGUGAGUGAUGAAGGCCCUAGGGUUGUAAAGCUCUUUCACCGGUGAAGAUAAUGACGGUAACCGGAGAAGAAGCCCCGGCUAACUUCGUGCCAGCAGCCGCGGUAAUACGAAGGGGGCUAGCGUUGUUCGGAUUUACUGGGCGUAAAGCGCACGUAGGCGGACUAUUAAGUCAGGUGUGAAAGCGUGAGGCUUAACCUCAUUAAGCACUUGAAACUGAUAGACUUGAGUGAAGGAGAGGAAAGUGGAAUUCCUAGUGUAGCGGUGAAAUGCGUAGAUAUUAGGAGGAAUACCGGUGGCGAAGGCGACUUUCUGGACUUUUACUGACGCUCAGGUACGAAAGCGUGGGGAGCAAACAGG
rnacentral:rRNA from 1 species